CCACUGAGAAGAGUCUGGCUCCAUCUUCUUGACAUUCUUCUUUCAGUCAUAGCCCUCUUCUGGACCCACUGCAGCAGCUCCAUGUCUCUUUUGUGCUGAGGAUCCCAGAGCUGUUCACAGUAUUGCAGGAUCAUGAAUUCCACCUUCUCAGCCAAGGCUGCCCUCAGAUUUAAAUCCACAACUGAUUCUUCCUCAUUCAGGUUCAGAUCACACCUGAAGUACUGUGCUCAGUUCUGAUCCCCAUAAAAGAAGAAAGGUAUGUAUAGAGUGUCAAAGACCAGGAAGAUGAUCAAAGUACUGGAGAAGCUGCCUAUAUGGAAAGACUAAAGAAGUUAGGUCUUUUCUCCCUGGAGAAGAGAAGAUUCAGGGGGGACUUCGUAAAAU